GAUGAACGCUAGCGGCAGGCCUAAUACAUGCAAGUCGAGCGGUAAGGCUCUGCACAGGUUAUUUGAUCGAGAGUUUAGUCUCCUAACGGUACUUCUGGCUAGAAGUAUUAACAGAUCGAAUAAUGUGUGUAGAGUACACGAGCGGCGGACGGCUGAGUAACGCGUAGGAACAUACCCCAAAGUGAGGGAUAAGCACCAGAAAUGGUGUCUAAUACCGCAUGUGGUCUUCGGAUUAAAGCUUUAUGCGCUUUGGGAAUGGCCUGCGUUCGAUUAGCUUGUUGGUGAGGUAAUGGCUCACCAAGGCUCCGAUCGAUAGCUGGUCUGAGAGGAUGAUCAGCCAGACUGGAACUGAGACACGGUCCAGACUCCUACGGGAGGCAGCAGUAGGGAAUUUUCCACAAUGGGCGAAAGCCUGAUGGAGCAACGCCGCGUGCAGGAUGAAGGCUUUCGGGUCGUAAACUGCUUUAUAGGUGAAGAUUAUGACGG
rnacentral:rRNA from 1 species